ensembl:lncRNA
GCAGCAGCAGCUGUCUGUGCAGAGAAAGGCUGCAGCCCAGAAACCAAGCUCCAGUGAGCUAGCUCCAGAAGCUAAAGGCAGCCAGUGGGCUCAGAUCAGAUGAAAAUACUGGAGUCAAUAAAAUGCAGUACCUCUCUGUGAGUGGUUCAGAGCCAUGGCAAGGAUGAUCACAGACAACACUGCAUUGAACAAGCAGCGCCAUGGACUGGGCUUGGUGACAUUACGCACAACAGCUGUGUUGGCCUAACCAGCCUUUGGGAACUGAACAGAAGGCAGAUGGGUGACAAAAGGAGAAGCUGUGGCCCAAGUUCACUUGGCACUACAGACAAUACAAAAGCAAUCAGCCAAGAAUGAAAUGCCCUAAAGACUGGAAAAGCAGACAUUAAAAGCACUUGCUGGGAAAGUCCUCAGCAUGAGGAGCAGGCAAGCACUGCAACCAAACCAUGGAAGGCACAGACCAGGCAGAAUACAUCUGCUCCCUGAGAUCUGAUGAGCCCGUUGUUCUCCAAGUUUGCUCAGGUUAAACAGAAUCUCCAAAUCUUCUGAGGCUCUCUAACACCCAACUGAUAGCUACAUCAAGGAUAAAUUUAUGCUAAUCUGUUAAUGUGUACACCCCACAGUCAUUAGUGAAGAAGACAGCCUCCUCUAUCCAGCUAAGGGUUUCUGAAAUAGAGAACUAAUGGAAAUGUCUUAUAGUUCUCCACGCUAACUCUGUAUUUUUUUCAGUGCUCACACAUAUGAGCCUGCAGUUUUUCAUCAAUAUCUACAGAAUCUUAUUACAAGAUGGCUUCUGGUAGACUGUAACGUCUAACAGAGAAACAGCUUGUGGUAGAAUGCAGGCUACUCAAGUACGUUUAAUAGACUUCAUCGGGGGUGGUUUGUCAUCAGGGAUAACAACAUAAAUAUUU